GAAUUUAAAACUUAAGGUCCUUAUAUGGUAAUUAGACCAUUAAUUAAAAGUAUGUAGAUAUUUUGGUGACUCAUCCAUGUAAAUUUUGAAAAAGGGCAAGGACUAAAUUGGAAAGUGAAAAUAUUUAAUUUAUUAAAAGAUGAUAAAAAAAUGAAAUAUCAUUUUAUUUUGUUAUUUUUUCCCCAAAAUACGUGGAAACCCUAGGACAGAGAGAAGAAACUUUCAUGGCCAAAUUGGAUAAGUUUCCUUGGCCUAUUUUUAGUAAUUUUAAUAUUUUUGAAACUGGGAUAGC
rnacentral:lncRNA from 1 species